CCCCCCCCCCCCCCCCCCCCCCCCCCCCCCCCCCCCCCCCCCCCCCCCCCCCCCCCCCCCCCCCAUGUGGGGUGCAGGGAUGUGGGGUGAGUUACAGCCGAGCUGUGGGGUGUGGGGAGGGAAUGUGGGGUGCAGGGAUGUGGGGUGAGUUACAGCCGAGCUGUGCGGUGUGGGGGGCAGAGAGGAGUGCGGGGAUGUGGGGUGAGUUACAGCCGAGCUGUGGGGUGCAGGAAGGGGAUAUGGGGAGGGAAGGAGUGUGGGGAUUUUGGGAUGAGUUACAGCCGAGUUGUGGGGUGUAACCCUCACAGACCCAAGGGGCCGCAUUCCCCACCUCCCCGGAGGUCUCCGCCUCCCCUCAAGGUGUUGCAAUACCUUUACACAACCCCAAAGGUGUUCCAAUACCUGCACCCCCAAAAGAUGUUAAAAUUCCUGUACACCCCCGAGACAUGUUAAAAUACCUGUACACACGACCCCAAAGGUGUUACAAGUCCUGUACACACAUCCCCAAAGGUGUUACAAUACCUGUACACCCCCAAAAGAUGUUAAAAUAUCUCUACACAACCCUAAAAGUUCUGCAAUACCUGUACACCCCUAAAAGUUGUUAAAAUAUCUGUACACACAACCCCAAAGGUGUUACAAUAUCUGUGCACACAUCCCCAAAGGUGCUAAAAUACCUGUACACCCCCAAAAGAUGAUAAAAUUCCUGUACAAACAUUCCCAAAGGUGUUGCAAUACUUGUACAGAACCCUAAAAGUUCUACAUGUACACCCCCAAAAUAUGUUAAAAUACCUGCAUGCAACCCCCAAAGGUUUUACAAUACCUGUAGUCCCCCCACAGUGUUACAGUUCCUCAGGAUGGAUAGAUUUGUCCCCAGCCCAGCCCCAGUGCCUCAGGUGUUGUUACCAAAGUAGUUUUGCUCCCUCCUGGCGCUUCCCACGUUCCAAGCCCACCUCUAAACCACAUCCACAAAGUGUCCCAGGGAGUCUUGCUGCAGUCAGAUAUCCUUGGCAAAGCUUUGAUGGAGCCCAAGGUGAAGCCGUGGUGGGCACAGAGCAGCUCCAUGACAGGGUCUGCAUUGCUGCUUGGUUUCUAAAGAUGGAACAACUGCUUUGGAAACCCCAACAAGGAGAGGGUUGUCUAGAUAAUACCCCUGGAAUACCAGGAAAAGCAAUGGGAUGUGAGCAGCCACAGACACAAAGCAAAAGUCAGCUGCCACCGUGGAGGUGUUUGGCAGUAAACAGCAAAUGAGAAGAAGCUGGGGUAGGAGCCUGAUUUGGGGUUUAAUAGGAUAUUUUUUAUAAAUGUCUGAAGCAGAAGGAAUUUUUGGUGCAGCUCACGACUUCUACCGUCACCCCCUGUUGGAUUUUAUUUCAGCCCUCUGCUCCUAAUGCACCUUCAUCACUGGUACUGUGCUUCCAUCCUCAUCCUCCCAGCUCGGGAUGACUCUUCCCUCUUGGCUGUGGUGCUGAUCCCCUCACAGUCCUGCCUCUGGCUCUGGGUGCACCUUUCCCAGAGGAUUUUGGGGUGAUGUGGCUGUGCAGUGUCCACGGUCACAGCCACCACGUGCCUGUCCUGGAGCUCAGCUGGCUCCUACUUUGGACUUUCAACUCCCUCCAGCAGAUUCUUGGUGAUUUUUCAACCUCCCAUGGAAGGGGAGAAAGGCGACAUAUGGUGCUGAUGGGCUAGAGAUGCAGGUGAUUUUUCAACCUCCCAUGGAAGGGGAGAAAGGCGACAUAGGGUGCUGAUGGGCUAGGGAUGCGCCUGGGCUUGGAGCAGAGCUGGGAAUCCCAAAUGCAUCCCUCCAGGAGCACACAGAUCCUACAAACAUUGCACCCUGCAUGAGGGGACACGGGGCUGCCAGCGCCGUGGGAUGACAAAGUGACAGCGCUUUUGGGGGCCGUUCCUGCCAGGCAGGGCACAGCAAAACCACUGACAGCGGCAGUGCGCGGGUGGGAGCCGGGCUGGGGGGAGGAUGUGGGGAGGCUCCGUUCCCCCUGUAAAACAAGAACCAGCAACGACGGCAGCCCGGCUGCGAUGGGGCCCGCCACGGGCACGGGGGUGAUGGGGACUGAUCAAACACAUCACCCCAAAAGUGACGGCGAGGCAAGCUGAGCUCAGUAAACCACAUGAAGUGCGGGAUGCUCGGGUGCCAGGGAAGGGCUGCAGCCAGCCCGGGCUGCUCCGCCUUUCCAGAGUGGCUGUGCCGGAAAAACGAGCGACUUUGUGUACGGGUUCGUGCUGAAUACCUCUUCUUUUGAAACCCAGCCCUCUUUGCAUUGGCACUGCUGACAGUGCUUGUCAGGGCUUGCAGUGGCGGCGAUUUAAAAGGUGAUAGCGAGCGGUAAGAAAUUCGUCUGCGCCGCCCGAGUCUCACGGGGAGCUGCGGCUCUGCGCUGGGAGCGGGGCUGGGGAUGCCACCAGCACGGGGACAGCCGUCACCCCGGCAGGAAGGGCCCCUCUUCCCUUCCUACAAUUAGUUCACUUUGCUGAUGAGGUCAGCUGGAGAAAGAUGGGGGUUUCUACUGCGUGACAAACUUCAGGCUAAACCGGGAGGAUGUGAUGGGGUCGCUGGCAGGUCUGUGGGGACAUGGGGACAGGACAGCAUGGGGGGUCUGGAGAAUGCCGUCAGCCCUCUUGCUUGCCAGGUCCAGCUCCAGAGAGGCACUCUUGUGUCCACAUCACACCUCAGCACCCCUUUACAAAUGAAUUAAAACUUAAUUAUGAUGUUUGGCUCAUGGUAAUGGGGUGCUAAUUUCCCCUAAGUAGUGGCUGACAUAUAUAAGACAGAACUGUAAUUUCUUCUAUUAAAAUAAUGUCUAAAUUACAUUUUACAUGAAAGCCUAAAAAUCGAGGCUGCAAAUGGGCAGAUUCAAAUAAUCCUCUCUGAAUUGGAAAAAAGAAAUACUGGAGUUUUGAGGAAGAGCCAUGGCCCGUAUAAACUGGGAUGUUUGCAGACACUGGCAGGGAGCAGGACUCCGUAUUUCUUCAGGGAAUUAACCACAGAGCUUGGUUAGGGGUGAUGGAUUAGAGGAGGGUUUCCUGCCUGCUGAUUUCCACCAUGGACUUCAGUCACUUUGCCCACACUUUGUGUCCAGCUUCACCAAGGAUUUUGUGUCAGGAUUUGUGCACCCUGGCUUUCCAAGGAAAAUUUUUAUACUACAGAAGAACAGUAUAAAAGAAAUCUUUAUAUGUAAGAAUAUAAAACAUUUAAAUAUGAAUAUAUAAUUUAUGUAGAAUAUAUUUUAUGAGAGCUUUAAUUUCUUAUCCAAACCAAACCAGAGAGCAGCAAUUCUGUUACAGGUAGUGAGGGCUGAAAAUGAUGGACUGAGGGAGGGGUUUUGCUGAGGGUGACGAGUUGGAUAUGAUCCCACUCAGGCUGGUCCCUUGCACUUCCAGCACUUCUGCCCCCCUUCCCUGUACCCCCAGACACAGGAGGGCACAGGGAGCUGCUGUGCAGGCUGGGGGGUUCCCAGACCACCCACA
rnacentral:lncRNA from 1 species